rnacentral:misc_RNA from 1 species
CGGCAAUCCAUUUACUGAUGAAAACAUUGAUAUCAACGCAAGACUUACAUUUGCUCAUAGAAAUGCUCUUUUAUCGGAUGAACUCUAUGAGUCCACUGUAAGGGAUUGCAAAGGAGAGUAUUAUACAUCUCCAGAUCCAAGCAAUGCAGCCUGUGUUGCUGAUCUCGAAGCUGUCAACUAUUGCCUUGAUAAAAUAUAUACACCCAACAUAUUGGAGCCAGAUUGUGCUACGUAUAUAUCUCCAAAACCAAACAUAUCAGCUUGGAAUAUUGCAACCUCUCUUCUGGAAAAUAAUUUCAUUCAUCUCCCCAUUUCAAUCAGGAAAAUUUCAGAAUCCUGGUGUCGGAUUGACAACUACGUGCUCUCUUAUAUUUGGGCUAAUGACAAAAAUGCCCAAGCUGCUCUCCAUGUUCGAGAGGGAACCGUAAAGGAUUGGCAAAGAUGCAAUACUAGUUUAAUGGAUAUUUAUUAUAAAUAUGAAAUCAAUUCCAGUCUUUUGUAUCAAAAAAACCUUACCAAGAAAGGCUAUCAGGCUUUGAUUUACAGUGGUGAUAUGGACAUGGCGGUGCCAUACGUGGGUACACAAGAAUGGAUAAAAUCUCUAAAUUUGACUAUAGAAGAUGAGUGGCG